GUUUCACUUUGUUUUCAAAAAGACAUUUGCUUGACUUCCUACUGGGCUUCCCGUCUUUCUACAAAGUCACUAAUUAUGGAGAGAAUAUCAGACUGAAAGGAAACUGGGUCCCAUGACACAACUAAUUUUAUCACUUCCCCUCUCUGGACCACAAAUUUCCUCCAUCUUAAAUCAACAAGCCCGGACUAGAAGAUCUUUCAGACUUCCUGCAACUCUAUUAUCAGUAAAACUAUCUAUGGAUUAAUUACUACUGAAAAGAUAACUUUCUGCACCAAUUUUAUUUGGGAUUCCCUGGACACGCGUUGGGAGCUGAUUGAUAACUUUUCAUUUGAGGUUACAGCUAUAAAGAGCAAUGAAUAAG